AUUUCUAGAGAUGAAAGUUACUUCGGUACAUCGGUGACAGGUGGUGCAUGGUUGUCGUCAGCUCGUGUCGUGAGAUGUUGGUUAAGUCCCGCAACGAGCGCAACCCCUACGGUUACGUUGCCAGCGGUUAAAGCCGGGCACUCUAGCUGAACUGCCGUUGACAAAACGGAGGAAGGUGGGGAUGACGUCAAAUCAUCAUGCCCUUUAUAUCCUGGGCUACACACGUGCUACAAUGGCCUGUACAGAGGGCAGCGAAGGGGCAACCUGGAGCGAAUCCCAAAAGCAGGUCUCAGUUCGGAUUGCAGGCUGCAACUCGCCUGCAUGAAGUCGGAAUCGCUAGUAAUCGCAGGUCAGCAUACUGCGGUCGAAUACGUUCCCGGGCCUU
rnacentral:rRNA from 1 species